rnacentral:lncRNA from 1 species
CAGAUACCUAAAGGCAAAAAUGAUGCAUCCAGAAGAAAGGCCAGGUAGGAAUCCAAGGCCCAGAGAUGUUGGGUGGCUGCUCAGGACCACACAGAGAGCUGAUCACGGGUCCAGAGGCCAUGAUCUUGUUAAGCUACACCCAGAAGUAAUGUUCCAGCAACUGGGCAUCUGGAACUGCCUCUAGGACAAAGAUGCCAAAAAUGAUUGUAGCUCUCGCACCUGCUGGAUCCUCACUGCCAUCCUGCG